rnacentral:lncRNA from 1 species
CUGACAGAGGGGAGGCCAGACCCAGUGGGGCCGAGACCCAGGGCCGGCUCUGCAGAUGCUGCCCGUGCUGCUGCCACCGCUGCUGCUGCUGCUGCUUAGGCCCAGACUGACGGAGGCCUACAGCAGGAAGGACCCGGCCACGUGGCCUUGGCAGGCAAGCAUCUUUCUGGACAGCCGGUACCGCUGUGAGGGGGCCCUCAUUUCCCCAGAGUGGGUGCUGACAAGUGCCAGCUGCUUUGGCAGGUGGGUGCAGGGCCAGGGAGGGGGUGGCAGGGGCUCUGGGAGGGCAGCUCCCAGCCUCGUCACCUCCCGCUCCACACAGCUGGCCGCUGGCCCUCUUCAGCGUGACCCUGGGCCCAGAUCGGCUGGCGCUGGACACUUGUGGCAGCAAGGCCAGCGUGGAGGCGCUGCUCCUGUCCCCAGGAGGGCCCAAGGCCUCGGGAUCUGGUGCCCUGGCCCUGGCUCGGCUGGCAAGGCCACCAUCUCUCAGCAGUGCCAUAUGGCCUAUCCCUCUGGCCACCCGGCCCAGGGGCGGAUCUGCUGGGCCCAAGGCUUUGAUCCUGACUUGGACCCCCACGCCCCACCCCCAAGGCUGGAGAGCACCCCCCUGAGGCUGCUGCACACCAACACCUGCAGAGACACCUUCCGCCUCCAGCCCGACUGUCCGGACCUGCAGGCCCUCCUGCCCAAGGGCUCCUGGUGCGCGAUCGCCCCCACCAGCCCAGCCCAGCUGGUGGUGUCUGAUGGGAGCCCCCUGGUCUGCUUCCAAGCUAGCAGCUGGCGGCUGGAGGGUGUGAUGACCUGGGUCCCUGCUCCCGGCCUGGCCUCCCUGAGGUCUACACACGUGCCUGUCCCCUCAUUUCUUGGAUUCGGGAGACGGUCUCCAAUGCCACCUUCGAUACCUCAGCCAAGAUGCACUCUUGGGACCGGCCCAGGACCAGGCAGAGGAGGCAGUGAGGGUCCUUCGGGAGUUCUGGGUUUGAAACCUGGCUCAGCUCCUUACCUGCUGCUGCGAUGGUGUCCCAGUCACCUCCCUUCUGAAUCUGCUUCCUCUUUUGUGCAACGGAGAUGUAUUCAAUUAUUCAGUCGUUCCACAGCUGCCACAUGCUCCCUACACAAGGUUGCUACAGCCCCUGUGCUCAUGGAGUCUGGGGGGCGAGGCGAGCAUUAGCCAGCGCUCUCACAAUAAUAAAUGUGCAAAUGCGAACCGUGACGGGUGCUUU